UGUAUCUGUAGUGGAAAUGCUCAGUCACAGCUAGAAGCAGUGAUUGAGCACCUGGGCCAACCCAGGGGAGCUCAGGUGCAUGCAGUGCAGCUGGGUGACUGCAAAGGCUGGAGCCAGGAUCCACCCCUUCUCAGCCCUCAUUUGAGGGUUGGCAGUGGAGGUGAGGGGAUCUUGCUGGAGAUCCCUGCGUACUUGAGGUUUUCUGAAGUGCCUACUAUCUACUCUGGAGUACUUAUCUGCAGAAAGCUCAAACUCUACACCUAUCUCAGCUUUCAAGGGUCUAUGGAAGCAUUGCCUUUGGUAUAAGGAAACAAAACAGAAGAUCACUAUGGUAUCAAUAAACAUGCUGUCAGCAAGAUGUGUAAGCUACCUGCAAGCUGAAUUCCAUUUACAGGUGCCAAAGUUCUGGCGCACUCACCGUAGGACACGUGUCCUUUUCCUCUGGGAUGGUGCCGUGACAGUGCAAGGAUCUAAGCCAGCACUCGGGUGGGAGCAGCAGGGAGCUGGGAAGGCAUUGCCUCGCAGUGUAUAAUGGAAUUACGGCACUGAGGAAUACUUAAAUUUUGCUUGAUGUCAGAAGCCCCUGGAAGAGAGAGCAUCCCUGUGGCUCUGUAGGAAACUCAGAUACGGAUGGAGAAAGGAGUCAGGGUUGGUGCAGGCUGUUGGAUGAGCCUUGGUGGAAGAAGUCCUGUUUCAGGUAACCAAACUGAUUUCUGUGUCCCGAGACUUCAUGCUCCAAUGCUAGACACAGUCUGCAGUGACUUGCAGCUGCGAGGGAAUGGGAUUCUCUGGUGUUUCAGGUGACCAGGUUGCUGAAGGUAUGCAGGUUGAGCCCUGAAGCCAGAGCUGCUGUAGCAGUGUAACACCUUGCCAUUGAUAGGUGUUCUGCUGCGUCUCCUCAUGCUGCAGUCUUCUUGCUGCUGAGGGUCUCCUCUUCUGAGCCUUUGUGUACACACCAAUCCAAACCGAGCAUGAGGAUUAGACAAGAGAAUGAUGAUAAAUAACACUGUAAACAGGAAGAAAAAAUUGAAGAAGUUCUUAAAACGGGCUGAAAAAGAAGAGUUUGAGUCCUGUGAGGCACUUGAGCAAGCUGGAGGACAAGUGCAUGUGCCGAAAGUGAGGAGACGGAUUCUUCUGUUCCUUGCAGAUGCUGGGGCUUGGAGUAGAGCCUGCUUUUGGCUUUGAUUCAGCUCAGCACCUGCCCAGCAGCUCCAUAUGAAAAGUAUCUUGCCUUCGAUGUCCUGGUGCAGCUUGCCUUAUCUAGGUGGGGUGACCUAUGUAAUUGGGUGACUUGUCUAGCUGUUUCUAGCCCCACUGAAAUGUUAAUUUCAAUUUGAAUCUGUCCCUUCUUUCUCUGGCCAGCUUUCAUCUUGCCAUUGAUUCUUUCCUAUUGAGUGCAAUUAAGAAGGAUGAUCCUGUCCUUGGUUAAUGAUAUCUACCAGUGAGUCAUGUCUGUACUUAGAAAUGAGAGCAGGAUAUUUCAAUUGAGCAUAACAGAGAUGACAACAGAGACUGACAAACUUGGACUUUCGCUCUUCCUUCCUUUUCACUGGCAACAGUAACAUGAGGAGCCCAAGAGAGCUCGCUGCUGGGCAGGUUUUGCCUUUCCCCCAUCCACAAAGAAGUCCUUUAGAGUCCAGUGAUGUGCUCUUGAAACACUGAUUUGCGCUGAGUUCUGUCAGACCAUCACAGAUGGUUCCGUGACCUCAGUCUGUUCUGUACAUGUGUCAUUAACACAGCCAAGAUCGGGGGAGCAAUGGUUCUCUUUGUUUGAUGUUCUCAGCCUGCUUGGCCUCCUAUAGGAGUCCUGUCCCAUCUCAGAGCUGCAGGAGAUGGCUGCAGUACAGGGCUGAUGGUCUGGCACAUCGUGUGGUGCAUGCUGCGGAGGGCUGGCAUCAAUCUUAUCCCCUUAAUGCACUGAUGAACACUGUACAGACUAGUGAUGUGAGGCACUGAGGGUCUUAAUCAGCCCAUCACAGAGCACAGCAUCAGUGUGAUUAUCCAGUGGCUUCGCUCAUGACCUCAGUUCAAGAAUACUUUUGCUCUUUGGGAAAUUGCUCUUUUUGUCUCUGGUCAAACUCAUCUCUGAACUGAUCCUCUCGGCCAUCUGAAGCUUAGCUUUCUGCACCAUUUAUUUGUUGUCUGUUCUCACUUAAACUGCUGGUUCUGAUGAUAUAUGGUUCUCUUAAUAGAUAAGCAAGCCAGUGUAUGUGGUGUAAAUGUUUCCUUAUAAGUUAGCUUACAAAUGAAGGAGUUGUUUCAUCAGAAUAAACUGAGUUUUCAAAGUGAGAUUAACAAAGAGAGGUCUAGCUGAAUUACUCUCUAAAGAACUUCACUGUAAAGCUUUUGAAUGCCUGACGUAUAUACGUAUA